rnacentral:tRNA from 1 species
GUCUGGAUGGCCGAGGGGUCUAAGGCGCUGCGUUCAGGUCGCAGUCUCCCCUGGAACCAUGGGUUUGAAUCCCACACUCGACA